GAUGAAGAACGUAGCGAAAUGCGAUAAGUAAUGUGAAUUGCAGAAUUCAGUGAAUCAUCGAAUCUUUGAACGCACAUUGCGCCCGCCAGUAUUCUGGCGGGCAUGCCUGUUCGAGCGUCAUUUCAACCAUCAAGCCCCAGGCUUGUGUUGGGGACCUGCGGCUGCCGCAGGCCCUGAAAACCAGUGGCGGGCUCGCUGUCACACCGGGCGUAGUAGAUUUUAUCUCGCUCAGGGCGUGCUGCGGGUUCCGGCCGUUAAAAAGCCUUUUUUACCCAAGUUUGACCUCGGAUCAGGUAGGAAGACCCGCUGAACUUAAGCAUAUCAAUAAGCGGAGGA
rnacentral:misc_RNA from 1 species